CCGGCACGGGUGAGUAACGCGUAUGCAACUUGCCUAUCAGUGGGGGAUAACCCGGCGAAAGUCGGACUAAUACCGCAUGAAGCAGGGGCCCCGCAUGGGGAUAUUUGCUAAAGAUUCAUCGCUGAUAGAUAGGCAUGCGUUCCAUUAGGCAGUUGGCGGGGUAACGGCCCACCAAACCGACGAUGGAUAGGGGUUCUGAGAGGAAGGUCCCCCACAUUGGUACUGAGACACGGACCAA
rnacentral:rRNA from 1 species